AUCCUGGCUCAGAGUGAACGCUGGCGGCAGGCCUAACACAUGCAAGUCGAGCGGCAGCGCGGGGGCAACCCUGGCGGCGAGCGGCGGACGGGUGAGGAAUGCAUCGGAAUCUGCCUCGUUGUGGGGGAUAACGUAGGGAAACUUACGCUAAUACCGCAUAUGACCGAGAGGUGAAAGUGGGGGACCGCAAGGCCUCACGCGAUGAGAUGAGCCGAUGCCGGAUUAGCUAGUUGGUGGGGUAAAGGCCCACCAAGGCGACGAUCCGUAGCUGGUCUGAGAGGAUGAUCAGCCACACUGGAACUGAGACACGGUCCAGACUCCUACGGGAGGCAGCAGUGGGGAAUAUUGGACAAUGGGCGCAAGCCUGAUCCAGCCAUGCCGCGUGUGUGAAGAAGGCCUUCGGGUUGUAAAGCACUUUUGUUGGGGAAGAAAGCGUACGGAUUAAUACUUCGUGCGGAUGACGGUACCCAAAGAAUAAGCACCGGCUAACUUCGUG
rnacentral:rRNA from 1 species